UACAGAGGUCUCAAGCGUUGUUCGGAUUCAUUGGGCGUAAAGGGUGCGUAGGUGGCGCGCUAAGUCAGGUGUGAAAUUUCGGAGCUUAACUCCGAAACUGCAUUCGAUACUGGCGUGCUUGAGGACUGGAGAGGAGACUGGAAUUCAUGGUGUAGCAGUGAAAUGCGCAGAUAUCAGGAGGAACACCGGUGGCGAAGGCGGUUCUCUGGGCAUUACCUGACGCUGGAGGAGCGAAAGCGUGGGGAGCGAACAGG
rnacentral:rRNA from 1 species